AGCAGCCGCGGUAAUUCCAGCUCCAAUAGCGUAUAUUAAAGUUGUUGCAGUUAAAAGCUCGUAGUUGAACUUCGGGGUUUACCCAUUGGUCAGGCUUAAUUGUCUGUACUGGUGAGAUAAAUCUCUACCUUCUGAGGAACUUUCAUGCCAUUUAUUUGGUGUGAUUGGAAAUCAGGACCAUUACUUUGAAAAAUUGAGUGUUUAAAGCAGGCUAACGUCUGAAUAUAUUAGCAUGGAAUAAUGAAAUAGGACGGCUUGGUUCUAUUUCGUUGGUUUCUAGGAUCACCGUAAUGAUUAAUAGGGAUAGUUGGGGGCAUUAGUAUUCAAUUGUCAGAGGUGAAAUUCUUGGAUUUAUUGAAGACUAACUACUGCGAAAGCAUUUGCCAAGGAUGUUUUCAUUAAUCAAGAACGAAAGUUAGGGAUCGAAGACGAUCAGAUACCGUCGUAGU
rnacentral:misc_RNA from 1 species